CCUACGGGAGGCAGCAGUGGGGAAUAUUGCACAAUGGGCGCAAGCCUGAUGCAGCGACGCCGCGUGAGGGAUGGAGGCCUUCGGGUUGUAAACCUCUUUUAUCGGGGAGCAAGCGAGAGUGAGUUUACCCGUUGAAUAAGCACCGGCUAACUACGUGCCAGCAGCCGCGGUAAUACGUAGGGUGCAAGCGUUAUCCGGAAUUAUUGGGCGUAAAGGGCUCGUAGGCGGUUCGUCGCGUCCGGUGUGAAAGUCCAUCGCUUAACGGUGGAUCCGCGCCGGGUACGGGCGGGCUUGAGUGCGGUAGGGGAGACUGGAAUUCCCGGUGUAACGGUGGAAUGUGUAGAUAUCGGGAAGAACACCAAUGGCGAAGGCAGGUCUCUGGGCCGUUACUGACGCUGAGGAGCGAAAGCGUGGGGAGCGAACAGGAUUAGAUACCCUGGUAGUCCACGCCGUAAACGGUGGAUGCUGGAUGUGGGGCCCGUUCCACGGGUUCCGUGUCGGAGCUAACGCGUUAAGCACCCCGCCUGGGGAGUACGGCCGCAAGGCUAAAACUCAAAGAAAUUGACGGGGGCCCGCACAAGCGGCGGAGCAUGCGGAUUAAUUCGAUGCAACGCGAAGAACCUUACCUGGGCUUGACAUGUUCCCGACGAUCCCAGAGAUGGGGUUUCCCUUCGGGGCGGGUUCACAGGUGGUGCAUGGUCGUCGUCAGCUCGUGUCGUGAGAUGUUGGGUUAAGUCCCGCAACGAGCGCAACCCUCGCCCCGUGUUGCCAGCGGAUUAUGCCGGGAACUCACGGGGGACCGCCGGGGUUAACUCGGAGGAAGGUGGGGAUGACGUCAGAUCAUCAUGCCCCUUACGUCCAGGGCUUCACGCAUGCUACAAUGGCCGGUACAACGGGAUGCGACGCGGCGACGCGGAGCGGAUCCCUGAAAACCGGUCUCAGUUCGGAUCGCAGUCUGCAACUCGACUGCGUGAAGGCGGAGUCGCUAGUAAUCGCGAAUCAGCAACGUCGCGGUGAAUGCGUUCCCGGGCCUUGUACACACCGCCCGUCAAGUCAUGAAAGUGGGCAGCACCCGAAGCCGGUGGCCUAACCCCUUGUGGGAUGGAGCCGUCUAAGGUGAGGCUCGUGAUUGGGACUAAGUCGUAACAAGGUAGCCGUACCGGAAGGUGCGGCUG
rnacentral:rRNA from 1 species